AAUAAGCAAUCGUUCAAAUCUAGCACAGACUCUGUUUGUUCCUGGGAAAUUUUGGAAAACCCUAAGUAGCGAUAUUAGUAUGUCGUAAUUUCAACACAAACAUCGCAUUACAAUUACCAUAAUUGCAUUGACACAUUUCCUCGAGCAUCUGGUGAGCACGAAAACGUUUUGCUUAUGAAUGCAGAUAAUAGAUCAAGUGAGCAAGUGAGCAACACCAAGCAACAAUCAUCAACUCGCACCAACAGUGCUCUUUCUUGAAAACGUGGAGGGCCUGCACUGAGGCCGUAUAUCUGUUUCUGCAAUAUCUGCUUCAUAGCUAGCAAACAUAGAAGGAGCCACAAUUCCCCUCAAAAUCUAUAUCUAUUUAUAUCUAUAUCUAUAUCUAUAUCUAUACUUAUAUAUAAAGCAGAGGCUCUAACAACCUCUGUUAUUAUUUCGACACCUGGAUCUCUAAAAUUCCCCAUUUGUGCCUACCUGGACACUCCACUCUUUCUUAUCCCUAUUUCUCUCCUCUCCAUUCAGGAAUUCUUCCAAAAAAAAAAACAAAAAGCGCACGACGCCCUUCCCCUUCUCUUUUAAACGCUUUUCUUCUCAUUAAUGCAUCGGGAUUGAACGACGGUUCAUAUUGGGAUUGACGACUCAGGCGCACAACGGUUCUCCUAUCUGCCUCUAGAUUUCCAUGCUUUUAAACGCUUUUCUUCUCAUUCAUGCAUCGGGGAUUGAAUGACGGUUCGUAUCGGGAUUGACGACUCAAGCGCAUGACGAUUCUCCUAUCCGCCUUUGGAUUUCCAUUUUUAAAUCACGGUAGGAGCUCCGUUGAGCUGAACGUUGUCGGGAUUUCUCAAUUCCGCUCUCGGAUGACAUAACCUGAUUAACACACCGAAUCUGGCUGAACAUGAGGGUGGUUUGUAAAGGUAGGUGGACUAUUUGGCGAAAAGAGGGAACUGUUUCUACUGCCCAAAGAUUUUUAACAGUUACUCGGCUCACUCAAGUGAUUGAAUGGUCAAAGAGGUUCUGACUGCAGAUCAAUCCUCCUUCCGAACGGGUUCCCAGCGAUUGCCUUUUGGGUUCUCAAGAUGAUACUCAUGUUAUUCGGGUCUAACACCAUUUAAUGGAGCCGUUCUAGCUGAUGCUCACUGGGGAAGAUUUAGGACAACAACUUUUGUAGUCUUAUAUAUCUUGGGAGUGUGCUGGUGGAUGCAAUAGCCGUGAGAGAGUCAGACGUCACAAAUGGGGCCAAACUCAUGCGCAUUGCCACUCAAGGUUGCAUCAACGGGCACACUACGACUCUUCCCCUUCUGCUUUUAAAUGCUUUUCUUCUCAUUCUUGCAUCGGGAUGGAACGACAGUUCAUAUCUAUUGACACUUCUCCAAGAAAAGGUUCUAUGAUCUCUCUCUUCAUUCUUCCCUUUGAGGUAAUUCUAUUUUUAAAUUUUGUUUUUCUUGCAUUCACUGAUUUCAGUUUUAAGCAAAUUAAGUCACAUUUCAGUUUUAAAUUUUUAAGAAGCUCAUAACAGAAUGAUUUGGUGUUUCAAUUUCUUUUCAAGCUGAACAUUUGAGCUUAUAAAGUGUAUCUUGAAAAUAUUAUGUUUAUUCUUGAAUUCAUUAUACUUUUGGGAUGUGUUUGAUGUUCUUUGAGUAGAUAUUGAACAAAAUAGCAGCUUGAGGCUAUGGAAAAGGAAUUACAUGUUUCUGAUAUCAGGACUAGGGAUAUUGUGGACAUUAAAUUGGUGAUUACUUUACUCUCUUUCUUAAAUCUACCUAUUGAAGGAAAUCAUCUUGAGUUGGUUUGUUUGGUUGACUCACAGUUGUCUACAAAGGUAUUGUUAUGUCUAGACAAAAUGCCGGCGUCAACAACACCAUUUGGAUUCAAAGAAUUUUGCUGGCGAAAUUGUCUUCCCUCUACCAAUAUUUCCCUCCCAUCAUUUCUGAGGGGUAGUAAAUAAACUAUCCUCAUUGGAUUGAUCUGCUCAAGUUUUCUUUCAAUUAUGCAUUUAAUUCACUUUGUAGGACUAUGCUCUGAGUAUGGUCUCAAAACCUAUUUUGCUGAGCUAGACUGGCAAGGAAUAUUUACCAAGAAGCUCCAUGGAGGUUAUCCAAAAAAACAGUUGCAUCUAUUAUUAGGAAAUAAGCUGACCAAGCUGUAUCUAUUAUUUAGGAAACAAGUUGCUUAUGUAGGUGUUUUUUUUCUUCAUUCAUUUGGAGAUGCAAAUUCUUUCUAAUUAUGAAGGUCGU